rnacentral:rRNA from 1 species
UACAGAGGGUGCGAGCGUUAAUCGGAAUUACUGGGCGUAAAGCGUGCGUAGACGGUUAUUUAAGUCGGGUGUGAAAGCCCGGGCUCAACCUGGGAAUUGCAUUCGAGACUGAAUAGCUAGGGUACGGUAGAGGGAAGCGGAAUUUCCGGUGUAGCGGUGAAAUGCGUAGAUAUCGGAAGGAACAUCAGUGGCGAAAGCGGCUUCCUGGACCAGUACCGACGUCAGGCACGAAAGCGUGGGGAGCAAACAGG